rnacentral:lncRNA from 10 species
AAAGUUAUGAAAUGCAAAGGAAGUUCAUAACAUAUUCUAGAAUCUGUCAUUUCAGGUAUUCCACCACUGGAAGUCCUCGCUAGACCUACAUCCCUCCAUGUGUCGCCCUGACUUGCUUUGCCCCCUGAGGAGUGUGCUUUAUGGUCAGCCUUUCUCCUUCUGUUGAUUCCUUCCCCGGGCCCAGCAACUAUUGCAAGCUUCUCUCAUAUUAAAAGUGUAGAAAACAGCAGCACUCCCAACCCUCCCCAACUUCCCACCUUCCUUUAUCCUAUCGUAGCUAAACGAGCUCCUCAGAAGAAACACCUGCACUCACAGUCACUUGACUGACUCUCCACUCGCCGUUUAACUCCUUCACUCGGACUUCUUACUCAUCCCUGACCCUUCAGCUACUCUUUCAAUUACGGCUGCUAGAAUUCUUUUCCUGAGUUGGGCUUGGCAGAUGGCUCUUCGUGUCCCUCCCAUUCUUUGCCUUCUGUGGUCAUCUGGCCUCAUAGGAGCUGCCAGUGAGUGGUGGGUCUGCUCCUGGGUCAUUUUCACAGCUGGGAUAUUUCCCUUCAACUUAGCUCUCUCUCUCUC